AGUGAACGCUGGCGGUAGGCCUAACACAUGCAAGUCGAACGGCCGCACAGUAAGAGCUUGCCCUUACGGGUGGCGAGUGGCGGACGGGUGAGGAAUACAUCGGAAUCUACUUUUUCGUGGGGGAUAACGUAGGGAAACUUACGCUAAUACCGCAUAUGACCUACGGGUGAAAGCAGGGGAGCUUCGGACCUUGCGCGAUUGAAUGAGCCGAUGUCGGAUUAGCUAGUUGGCGGGGUAAAGGCCCACCAAGGCGACGAUCCGUAGCUGGCCUGAGAGGAUGAUCAGCCACACUGGAACUGAGACACGGUCCAGACUCCUACGGGAGGCAGCAGUGGGGAAUAUUCGACAAUGGGCGCAAGCCUGACCCAGCCAUACCGCGUGGGUGAAGAAGGCCUUCGGGUUGUAAAGCCCUUUUGUUGGGAAAGAAAAGCAGCAGGUUAAUACCCCGCUGUUCUGACGGUACCCAAAGAAUAAGCACCGGCUAACUUCGUG
rnacentral:rRNA from 1 species